rnacentral:rRNA from 1 species
AUACGUAGGGGGCGAGCGUUGUCCGGAAUUACUGGGCGUAAAGGGUGCGUAGGCGGCUGAUCAAGUCAGAUGUGAAAUACCACGGCUUAACUGUGGGGGUGCAUUAGAAACUGGUUAGCUUGAGUGCAGGAGAGGAAAGCGGAAUUCCUAGUGUAGCGGUGAAAUGCGUAGAGAUUAGGAGGAACACCGGUGGCGAAGGCGGCUUUCUGGACUGUAACUGACGCUGAGGCACGAAAGCGUGGGGAGCGAACAGGAUUAGAUACCCUGGUAGUCCACGCCGUAAACGAUGGAUACUAGGUGUAGGGGGUAUCGACCCCUCCGGUGCCGGAGUUAACGCAAUAAGUAUCCCGCCUGGGGAGUACGGCCGCAAGGUUGAA